UACAGAGGGUGCGAGCGUUGUCCGGAAUCACUGGGCGUAAAGGGCGCGUAGGCGGACUUGCAAGUCAGGCGUGAAAUCCCUGGGCUCAACCCAGGAAUUGCACUUGAAACUGCAAGCCUUGAGUGUCGGAGAGGAAAGUGGAAUUCCUGGUGUAGAGGUGAAAUUCGUAGAUAUCAGGAGGAACACCGGUGGCGAAGGCGGCUUUCUGGACGACAACUGACGCUGAGACGCGAAAGCGUGGGGAGCAAACAGG
rnacentral:rRNA from 1 species